UUUAAUUCGAUGCAACGCGAAAACCUUACCCACCUUUGACAUGGCAGAAUCCCGAAGAGAUUUGGGAGUGCUCGAAAGAGAACCUGCACACAGGUGCUGCAUGGCUGUCGUCAGCUCGUGUCGUGAGAUGUUGGGUUAAGUCCCGCAACGAGCGCAACCCUUGCCAUUAGUUGCUACGAAAGGGCACUCUAAUGGGACUGCCGGUGACAAACCGGAGGAAGGUGGGGAUGACGUCAAGUCCUCAUGGCCCUUAUAGGUGGGGCUACACACGUCAUACAAUGGCCGGUACAGAGGGUAGCCAACCCGCGAGGGGGAGCCAAUCCCACAAAGCCGGUCGUAGUCCGGAUCGCAGUCUGCAACUCGACUGCGUGAAGUCGGAAUCGCUAGUAAUCGCGGAUCAGCAUGUCGCGGUGAAUACGUUCCCGGGUCUU
rnacentral:rRNA from 1 species